CCGAAUAUUGGUAGUAGGUCUGUCCUGAGCGGUCCACCGAUAUGCACUGAUGUCGGUCGGAGAAAAACUGAUUGCCAGCUGGAGUAAAAAAUUAAAACUCGAGCCGCCACACUACCAACGGACGAGGGGCGCAACAAUCCAAACAUGCUCCAUUCGUUAGCGGUGCCGUAACGACAGACGGACGGAUGGGUGGUGGCGGCAGCGAUUGCAUCGAGUAGAGGAGGUACAAGAGCGGAGCAAGAGAAAAAGAAAGAGAGAGAUUCGAAGUAAGAGAAUUGCAGUGGAGCCCUCGAGAGGCCCGUUCGAAGCAGCGAAACAAGAUGCGGUCGGUGUGUUGAAUCGGAAUACAAAAUUAGGUACACACGCGAAAAGGGAAGGCCAAAGAGGAGCUGCGAGACUCACCGUCGGCGACAAUCCACCCAACAGAUGUGUCGCCUGCUAUGAUGCACAAUCGAAAGGUUUGGCCCGAAUCGAGGCGUUGCAAAAUAUUAGAAAUGUCACAUUUCCAUCAGAAACCAAUCGACGAUGAAUAGUUUAUCUUUACGACAUACCUUGCGAUAGCUCCCUUCGCUUUAAUCCCUUCAACAAGCUGAUAGCAAGUGAAUGUCAUUUCUACUGUCCAGUGACUGGCCACGACCACGGCAUUGAACUGCUGGUUGGCAUCAAACCCGCUAUACGAAAUCACCGCUAAUAAACCGGCUUGAUAAAAUAUCCGAACAAUUAAACCAA